CCUACGGGAGGCAGCAGUGCGGAAUUUUAGAUAAUGGAGGCAACUCUGAUCUAGCGACGCCGCGUGCAGGAAGAAGGUCUUCGGAUUGUAAACUGCUGUGGUAAGGGAAAAAUGCCAUGUAGAGUGGAAAGCUACAUGGAGGGAUGGUACUUUACUAGAAAGCCCCGGCUAACUACGUGCCAGCAGCCGCGGUAAUACGUAGGGGGCGAGCGUUACCCGGAAUCACUGGGCGUAAAGGGAGCGUAGGUGGCCUGACAUGUCGACUGUGAAAACCCGGAGCUCAACUCCGGACUUGCAGUUGAAACUGCCAGGCUUGAGGACGGUAGAGGAAGACGGAACUGCCAGUGUAGGGGUAAAAUCCUUAGAUAUUGGCAGGAACGCCGGUGACGAAGGUGGUUUUCUGGGCCGGUUCUGACACUGAUGCUCGAAAGCCAGGGGAGCGAACGGGAUUAGAUACCCCGGUAGUCCUGGCCCUAAACGAUGUUCACUAGGUGUGGGGAGCGGAAAGCUUUCCGUGCUAAAGCUAACGCGAUAAGUGAACCGCCUGGGGAGUACGCCCGCAAGGGUGAAACUCAAAGGAAUGAC
rnacentral:rRNA from 1 species